AAUAGAUACCCUGGUAGUCCACGCCGUAAACGAUGAGUGCUAGGUGUUGGGGGGGGUCCACCCCUCGGUGCCGAAGUUAACACAUUAAGCACUCCGCCUGGGGAGUACGGUCGCAAGACUGAAACUCAAAGGAAUUGACGGGGACCCGCACAAGCAGUGGAGUAUGUGGUUUAAUUCGAAGCAACGCGAAGAACCUUACCAGGUCUUGACAUCCCUCUGAAUACGCUAGAGAUAGCGUAGGCCUUCGGGACAGAGGAGACAGGUGGUGCAUGGUUGUCGUCAGCUCGUGUCGUGAGAUGUUGGGUUAAGUCCCGCAACGAGCGCAACCCUUAAGCUUAGUUGCCAGCACGUAAAGGUGGGCACUCUAAGGUGACUGCCGGUGACAAACCGGAGGAAGGCGGGGAUGACGUCAAAUCAUCAUGCCCCUUAUGACCUGGGCUACACACGUACUACAAUGGCCGGUACAACGGGCAGCGAAGGGGCGACCCGGAGCCAAUCCUAUCAAAGCCGGUCUCAGUUCGGAUUGCAGGCUGCAACUCG
rnacentral:rRNA from 1 species